rnacentral:rRNA from 1 species
CCUACGGGAGGCAGCAGUGGGGAAUUUUGGACAAUGGGCGAAAGCCUGAUCCAGCAAUGCCGCGUGAGUGAAGAAGGCCUUCGGGUUGUAAAGCUCUUUUGUCAGGGAAGAAACGGUGAGGGCUAAUAUCCCUUGCUAAUGACGGUACCUGAAGAAUAAGCACCGGCUAACUACGUGCCAGCAGCCGCGGUAAUACGUAGGGUGCAAGCGUUAAUCGGAAUUACUGGGCGUAAAGCGUGCGCAGGCGGUUUUGUAAGUCUGAUGUGAAAUCCCCGGGCUCAACCUGGGAAUUGCAUUGGAGACUGCAAGGCUAGAAUCUGGCAGAGGGGGGUAGAAUUCCACGUGUAGCAGUGAAAUGCGUAGAUAUGUGGAGGAACACCGAUGGCGAAGGCAGCCCCCUGGGUCAAGAUUGACGCUCAUGCACGAAAGCGUGGGGAGCAAACAGGAUUAGAUACCCUGGUAGUCCACGCCCUAAACGAUGUCUACUAGUUGUCGGGUCUUAAUUGACUUGGUAACGCAGCUAACGCGUGAAGUAGACCGCCUGGGGAGUACGGUCCCAAGAUUAAAACUCAAAUGAAUUGACGG